rnacentral:rRNA from 1 species
GAUGAACGCUGGCGGCGUGCCUAAUACAUGCAAGUCGAGCGAACAGACGAGGAGCUUGCUCCUUUGACGUUAGCGGCGGACGGGUGAGUAACGCGUGGGUAACCUACCUAUAAGACUGGGAUAACUUCGGGAAACCGGAGCUAAUACCGGAUAAUAUUUCGAACCGCAUGGUUCGAUAGUGAAAGAUGGCUCUGCUAUCACUUAUAGAUGGACCUGCGCCGUAUUAGCUAGUUGGUAAGGUAACGGCUUACCAAGGCAACGAUACGUAGCCGACCUGAGAGGGUGAUCGGCCACACUGGAACUGAGACACGGUCCAGACUCCUACGGGAGGCAGCAGUAGGGAAUCUUCCGCAAUGGGCGAAAGCCUGACGGAGCAACGCCGCGUGAGUGAUGAAGGUCUUCGGAUCGUAAAACUCUGUUAUUAGGGAAGAACAAACGUGUAAGUAACUGUGCACGUCUUGACGGUACCUAAUCAGAAAGCCACGGCUAACUACGUG